rnacentral:rRNA from 1 species
GACGAACGCUGGCGGCGUGCUUAACAUAUGCAAGUCGAACGGAAAGGCCCUGCUUUUGUGGGGUGCUCGAGUGGCGAACGGGUGAGUAACACGUGAGUAACCUGCCCUUGACUUUGGGAUAACUUCAGGAAACUGGGGCUAAUACCGGAUAGGAGCUCCUGCUGCAUGGUGGGGGUUGGAAAGUUUCGGCGGUUGGGGAUGGACUCGCGGCUUAUCAGCUUGUUGGUGGGGUAGUGGCUUACCAAGGCUUUGACGGGUAGCCGGCCUGAGAGGGUGAUCGGCCACAUUGGGACUGAGAUACGGCCCAGACUCCUACGGGAGGCAGCAGUGGGGAAUAUUGCACAAUGGGCGGAAGCCUGAUGCAGCAACGCCGCGUGCGGGAUGACGGCCUUCGGGUUGUAAACCGCUUUCGCCUGUGACGAAGCGUGAGUGACGGUAAUGGGUAAAGAAGCACCGGCUAACUACGUG